ensembl:lncRNA
AUCAUUUUAAAAUGUAAAAUGUUCUCUUAUAUACAAAUAGUUAAAUACAAUACUUAAUAUAAAAGUAUGUCUGGUAGCCUAGGGCUAUUUAAUUAGUUAUUACCUAAUUUUACACAAAGGCAUAAUUUGCAACCCAUACAAACUUCUCAUUAAAAUAUUUGUUAACUAUCUGUACGACGUCAACCUAUUCGACAUAUAAGAGUAAUAGGCAACAGGAGAUUUUUUUUUGUUUGAAAUCGAAUUGCUAAAGAUUAAAUUAGAAAGACACAUAUUCAGAAUUGUCAUCUUUAAAAGUGCUUGCAAUUUGUCGAUUGCCAGCUAUGCGUUUAAUUCAAAUGCAAAUCUUCCUGGUACGUUUCAAACAAAGGCAUUUUAAAACACUAUUUUCAAAGGUAUUGUUUAUAAAUACGACGUCACAUAAUAGGUGAAACUUUGGCAAUGGUCGAGAACAUCAAAUCGACAGUAAACAGGUUCUGACCUAUUGAUUUCUUGAAUUCUAAAUAACCAUGAAAUCUAAAUAUCCAUUACUAGUAAUUCCGUCCAUCAGUCAAAAUUCACCCAUGAUACAACACGGGUUUGAUCCGGUAUUUUACAGUCUAUGGGUAGAACGCAGCGUGUUGUGGUAGGAGUGGCAAUCUUCGCGCAUGUCAAUAAAGACGAAGCAGGGAAAGUGGGUCUCUCUUUCUGGAAAAAGAACCGAUGAGGACGUGUGGUGCCUGUGUGCGUUCGCAGCAAGAUUCAGUAAAUGUAAAAUUCCUCGUUUAUGUGACAGAUUGUCUUUUGGAGUAGAUGGUGGAUAUGUACUGGUCUAUUGAGGCAUCAUGCCUUUUGGAUGGUGGAUGGUGCCGGAUGUAUAGCUGUGGUGUUGGCAUCAUGCCUUUUGGAUGGUGGAUGGUGUCGGAUGUAUAGCUGUGGUGUUGGCAUCAUGCCUUUUGGAUGGUGGAUGGUGCCGGAUGUAUAGCUGUGGUGUUGGCAUCAUGCCUUUUGGAUGGUGGAUGGUGCCGGAUGUAUAGCUGUGGUGUUGAUGGGUUGGCCCAGCAGGGUGGUGAUGACAUGGGCCGGAGGGGUCUCCUAUAGCACGAUUUGAUGGGCCAUGAUGUGGACCUGAAGAUUGAACCCCCCUGGGGGUGAGUGUCUGCCUGUGAACUGAAUGUUGACUUCAUCUUUGAUUUAUUGUAAGCGCAUGCAACUGGAGUUGUGAUGAGUUCUACAUUUUGCCGUUUACCCAUCUGACUAAAUCGGGAUGCUGAGACUGUGACUAACUGAACGACCAGUAUAAUCACUGACAUUCUAUGCCGCCAUCAAAUGACUGGCCACACUGAUGUACUGUACUUCUCUCCUAGACUGUACGUGGAGUAUGAAGAGCUAAGUCUGGAUCCUGUGGUGAGUGUGUCCUCUGGGUUCAAUGUAGCUAAUACAUGGUUUUAUUUGGGUCUGUUUUUUUUUUACUACUGGUAUUGCGGUCAUGUAUAUUGGCCCCAUUUGUCUAAACAGAGUAUGUUAGUUACACAAGUCAGGUUCACUGACGUGUUGUCUGACAUUCCUUCAGGUUGGUUUGUGAGUUGCAGUAAAUGCAUAUCUUGUUGGUGAGUUCUUUCCUGGUAUUGCAUGUUGAACUGGAUUGUUAAUGUUCAGUACUUGCUGGAACUGUGAUGUCUUCUGACACAUUUCUGCAGACUCACCCUGCUGUAAAGCCAUUCAUCUGAGAUUCCUGCAUUAUGAAAUGUGUAGAAUAUUUGUAAAAUAGUUCAAGGAAGUGAGUUGUCUUUUUGAGAAGCUUAACAUAGAUUUGACUAAACUUUUGGUGAGUUUGACUUCUGUUCACACUUUGCCCAAGCUUCUGAGAUGGAUAUAUCUAUUUUUUUUAAGGUGACUACAGACUGUCAAAAGUACUGCCUGGUUGAACUACUGGUUAAAUGUUACAUUUUAAUGUGAUUUUACCCUGUAUGAUGUAAAUGAUUAAAGUUGAUCUCACAGUUAAU